rnacentral:rRNA from 1 species
UGAAGAAGGCCUUCGGGUUGUAAAGCUCUUUUGUCAGGGAAGAAAAGGGAUUGGCUAAUAUCUGAUCCUCAUGACGGUACCUGAAGAAUAAGCACCGGCUAACUACGUGCCAGCAGCCGCGGUAAUACGUAGGGUGCAAGCGUUAAUCGGAAUUACUGGGCGUAAAGCGUGCGCAGGCGGUUUUGUAAGACUGUCGUGAAAUCCCCGGGCUCAACCUGGGAAUGGCGAUGGUGACUGCAAGGCUAGAGUUUGGCAGAGGGGGGUAGAAUUCCACGUGUAGCAGUGAAAUGCGUAGAUAUGUGGAGGAACACCGAUGGCGAAGGCAGCCCCCUGGGUCAAAACUGACGCUCAUGCACGAAAGCGUGGGGAGCAAACAGGAUUAGAUACCCUGGUAGUCCACGCCCUAAACGAUGUCUACUAGUUGUCGGGUCUUAAUUGACUUGGUAACGCAGCUA